rnacentral:rRNA from 1 species
CCAUUUAUAUAUUAAAGCUUCGGCACUUGAUGAUGGGUGUGCGGCUGAUUAGAUAGUUGGCGAGGUAACGGCUCACCAAGUCUACGAUCAGUAGCUGAUGUGAGAGCAUGAUUAGCCACACGGGCACUGAGACACGGGCCCGACUCCUACGGGAGGCAGCAGUAAGGAAUAUUGGACAAUGGACGAAAGUCUGAUCCAGCCAUGCCGCGUGAAGGAUUAAGGUCCUCUGGAUUGUAAACUUCUUUUAUAUGGGACGAAAAAGAGAAUUCUUUCUCACUUGACGGUACCAUACGAAUCAGCACCGGCUAACUCCGUG